rnacentral:rRNA from 1 species
AUUGAACGCUGGCGGCAGGCUUAACACAUGCAAGUCGAGCGGAGACUUCGGUCUUAGCGGCGAACGGGUGAGGAAUGCCUGGGAAUCUGCCUGGUAGUGGGGGAUAACGUUCCGAAAGGAACGCUAAUACCGCAUACGUCCUACGGGAGAAAGCAGGGGACCUUCGGGCCUUGCGCUAUCCAGAUGAGCCCAGGUCGGAUUAGCUAGUAGGUGAGGUAAAGGCUCACCUAGGCGACGAUCCGUAGCUGGUCUGAGAGGAUGAUCAGCCACACUGGAACUGAGACACGGUCCAGACUCCUACGGAGGCAGCAGU